rnacentral:rRNA from 1 species
GACGAACGCUGGCGGCGUGCUUAACACAUGCAAGUCGAACGGAAAGGCCCUUUCGGGGGUACUCGAGUGGCGAACGGGUGAGUAACACGUGGGUGAUCUGCCCUGCACUUCGGGAUAAGCUUGGGAAACUGGGUCUAAUACCGGAUAGGACUACGGACUGCAUGGUCUGUGGUGGAAAGCUUUUGCGGUGUGGGAUGGGCCCGCGGCCUAUCAGCUUGUUGGUGGGGUGAUGGCCUACCAAGGCGACGACGGGUAGCCGGCCUGAGAGGG